AGAGUUUGAUCUUCGCUCCAAAUGAACAAUGGCGUCUUGUUUAACACAUGCAAGUCGGAUGGGAAGUGGUGUUUCUAGUGGCGAACAGGUGAGUAACGCGUAAGAACCUACCCUUGGGAGGGGAACAACGGCAGGAAACAACUGUGAAUACCCCAUAGGCUGAGGAGAAAAAGGGGGGAUCCGCCCAAGGAGGGGCUCGCGCCUCAUUAGUUAUUUGGUGAGGCAAUAGCUUACCAAGGUGAUGAUCAAUAGCUGGUCUGAGAGGAUGAUCAACCACACUGGGAUUGAGACACCCUCCACUCCUAUGGGAGGCAACAGUGGGGAAUUUUCUGCAAUGGGCGAAAGCCUGAUGGAGCAAUGGCGCAUGAAGGCAGAAGGCCCACAGGUCAUGAAAUUCUUCUCUCGGAGAAGAGAAAAUGAUGAUAUCUGAGGAAUAAGCAUCGACUAACUCUGUGCCAGCAGCCGUGGUAAGACAGAGGAUGCAAGUGUUAUCCGGAAUGAUUGGGCGUUAAAGCGUCUGUAGGUGGGCUUUCAAGUCCGCCGUCCAAAUCCCAGGGCCAAACCUUGGAUAGGUGGUGGAAACUACCAAGCUCGAGUACGGUAGGCGCAGAGGGAAUUUCUGGUGGAACGAUGAAAUGUGUUGAGAUUGAAAAAAACACCAACGUCGAAAGCACUCUGCUAGGCCGACACUGACACUGAGAGACAAAAGCUAGGGGAGAAAAUGGGAUUAGAUACCCCAGUAUUCCUAGCCGUAAAUGAUGGAUACUAAGUUUUGUGCAUAUAGACCCACGCAGUCUUGUAGCUAACAUGUUAAGUAUCCCACCUGGGGAGUACAUUCGCAAGAAUGAAACUCAAAGAAAUUGACAGGGGCCUGCACAAGCAGUGGAGCAUGUGGUUCAAUUUGAUGCAUAACAGAGAACCUUACUAGGGCUUGACAUGCCAUGAAUCCUCUUGAAAGAGAGGAGUGCCUUUGGGAACACGGACACAGGUGGUGCAUGGAUGUUGUCAGUUCAUGCCGU
rnacentral:rRNA from 1 species